AUGAUGGUAAUGAUGGUGAUGAUGAUGAUGGUGGUGUCCGGUGAUCGCUCUACCUUCGAGCGAGAAAUUCCUUUUGCCGCUUUAAGCCCGGUUUACUCUGUUGACGUUCGCGAUCGCGUAUCGGCGCUCGAUUGGUAGCACGAUCCGUGACCCGCCAAUCGUCGGGACGGGAAGUUUUUCCUUGCGAAUGUCAAGCCGUCGACACGGAUGCAGGACCGAUCUCGACAAUAGACGUUCGCUCAACAGUUCGCGCGUUGUCCUUUUUCGCGACACAUCUUUCUUCUUUUAAUCUCUUCGAAGUGAAUGCGUGCUAAAACGCAGAAAUGGCGAAAAAGAGAGAACGAGAGAAAGGUGUCGUAUGUAGGAUUCGAUCUAACGUAAUGCUCGCUUGAAUAUCGUUUCGAAGUGUUGUUCUCCUUAUUGUGGUGUGCACCACUUUUCAACGAUCCACUGUACGCGUGGAUGUGUGUAGUAGGAUCGAAAAAGGUCGUCGAUAGGUGUGGGUUAUCUUUUUCCUCGCAAGACCUAAGAUCGGUCUAUCGUUAUCGUCGUCCUCGUAAUUGUACACAAGUCGGUUAACGCGACCAAAGCAUAUGUAAUUUAUAUCGUCUUGUUGCUUUAAGAUAAACCAUUGUUCUGAUUAAGAAAACUUUCCACGAGUAAUAUUGUCCAUGAGAAAAGGUCUCUGUCGCGAUGAACGCGAUAAAACGCUUGAAAAGCAUAUAGAUAUGCCGAUAUAUCGAGACCUAUAUACUUUUGUCAAAGCGAGAGGACUAUUCUACUGCCUGCCAACAAUAGAACGCCCACGCAAUUUGUGAAACAAAUUUCAUGAUAAUAACUUGACGGCUGUCAAGAAAAUUCUAUAGGCAUUCAAUGUUG